GAUGAAGAACGUAGCGAAAUGCGAUAAGGAGUGUGAAUUGCAGAAUUCAGUGAAUCAUCGAAUCUUUGAACGCACAUUGCGGCCAUAGGUAUUCCUUUGGCCAUGCCUGUUCGAGCGUCAUUUACACCCUCAAGCCUAGCUUGGUGUUGGGCGUCUGUCCCGCCGUUCUCGCGCGCGGACUCGCCUCAAAGUCAUUGGCGGCGGUCGUGCCGGCCCCCUCGCGCAGCACAUUUGCGCUUCUCGGAGGCCCGGCGGAUCCGCGCUCCAGCAAGACCUUUCACGACUUGACCUCGGAUCAGGUAGGGAUACCCGCUGAACUUAAGCAUAUCAAUAAGCGGAGGA
rnacentral:misc_RNA from 1 species